GGGGGCGAAAAGGGUUCGACGGGGAUCGUUGACGUCAGGGUGGCAUGCCGAGGUCCCAUUGGCUCGUUAAACAAAUGGGAAUAAACAUAAUCGCAACCAACUACGAUUAUGCCCUAGCUGCUUAAGGGCAGCUAGCGUCCCUUCCGUUUUCUCCUGCAGGGCGGAAAGUGGAUGUCAGAAAUACAGGAUAGUUCCUCUCCGACGCUUAUAGGAUGAGGGGCGAAUCACCAUAAGCUAAUCCUUCCGGAAUCCUGCCCGUGGGAGAUUGGAAGGGUGAAUUUAAAACACGGGCUAAGCAUGUAGAAGCUCUGUCGGAAGGUUCUCGGACGCGGGUUCGAUUCCCGCCGCCUCCACCA
rnacentral:tmRNA from 1 species